UGGUGGGUAGUUUGACUGGGGCGGUCUCCUCCUAAAGAGUAACGGAGGAGCACGAAGGUUGGCUAAUCCUGGUCGGACAUCAGGAGGUUAGUGCAAUGGCAUAAGCCAGCUUGACUGCGAGCGUGACGGCGCGAGCAGGUGCGAAAGCAGGUCAUAGUGAUCCGGUGGUUCUGAAUGGAAGGGCCAUCGCUCAACGGAUAAAAGGUACUCCGGGGAUAACAGGCUGAUACCGCCCAAGAGUUCAUAUCGACGGCGGUGUUUGGCACCUCGAUGUCGGCUCAUCACAUCCUGGGGCUGAAGUAGGUCCCAAGGGUAUGGCUGUUCGCCAUUUAAAGUGGUACGCGAGCUGGGUUUAGAACGUCGUGAGACAGUUCGGUCCCUAUCUGCCGUGGGCGCUGGAGAACUGAGGGGGGCUGCUCCUAGUACGAGAGGACCGGAGUGGACGCAUCACUGGUGUUCGGGUUGUCAUGCCAAUGGCACUGCCCGGUAGCUAAAUGCGGAAGAGAUAAGUGCUGAAAGCAUCUAAGCACGAAACUUGCCCCGAGAUGAGUUCUCCCUGAGACUUUAGGUCUCCUGAAGGAACGUUGAAGACGA
rnacentral:rRNA from 1 species